rnacentral:lncRNA from 1 species
CUAUUAGAGACUUUCUUGCAUGGUGUGAUCAAGAUGUUCGUUGACGAUGACGAAGACAAAUGUACUAAAAUUGAAGACAAACUAAAAGAGAAGAGCAUUAGCUAUAAUAAAUCUUUCUUAAGAAAAGAAAAGAUGUACCACUCUGGUGGUAAGAUUGAGAUGUUAUCCAUUCUUCCAUCUUUAUAUAACAUUAAUUUCAGUGUUCAAUUUUUGUAAUGAUUUUAGAACAUUUAUAGUUGAAUCAUAGAUAUUACUUGCUUAUUUCCUUGCAUCUUUGUGGAUUAUGGACACGAACUGAGAACCACUCCAGGAUAGAUAAAUCAAACAUCUUUAUUUUGUAGUAUUUGUCACAGUAAAAUUUAUAUCUAUACAUGUAUCAUUCCUUCUAAUUCUUCACUCAAAGUUUGUCCUUAGAUUUUCAGAUUUUCUCAUUCAUCCUGGGGAUAACUUUUUUUGUUAGGACUAACCCAUGAGCCGGGGAGGACCAUUAUGCUGCAAAGCUCUCCUUCAAGAAAUUUAUCACUCUGCAUGUCUAGGACUGGGAGAUUUAACACUGCUGCAUGCUUAGGGCCGGGUUCAAUCGAGGACUUCUGGUUAAGCUUUAAGAGUCCAUUACCAUAUCAACCAGGGAUAAUCUUUUUUACAUAAAUGUAUCUGAGGAACUUGAGGAACCUGAGUUAUAUUCUGACUUAGCAUACAAGAUUAUUUGUAUCAUUUUUUUUGGAUGUGUUUCAUGAUUUUGGUAAUUGAGAGACACAUUUAAUCUAUUUUGCAGCAUGUUAAGAGGAAUUAGAGUUUACCCAUUAGACAAAUCAAAUUUCUUUCAUGACUCUUGAUACAAUGGACAAGGACAGAGAACAACUCCAGGAUAGAUAAUUAGAGUUUACCCAUUAGACAAAUCAAAUUUCUUUCAUGACUCUUGAUACAAUGGACAAGGACAGAGAACAACUCCAGGAUAGAUAAACCAAUAUUCUUCUUUGUCUUAUUUUUUUAGUAUUUGUUACGGUAAAAUAUAUAUGUAAUGUACAUGUCUCAUUUGGUAUGAGUACAAGUAAUGCAUGUGUUUGGUUUGUAGUCUGAAUUUGGAGAUAUUGGAGAUGAGUGCCUCUGCUUGAACUAAUUAACAAGGUGUCAAGGAGACCUGAAGCAUCACGUUUGGCUGGCUGGGUUGUAUAUUCUUUGGCUGGGUUGUAUAUUCUGUUGCUGUGCUUAAUUUGGUGAUCUAAACUUAGAUUUGAAUAUUUUUGCAUCAUUCCUUCUGAUUCUUCUUUGCAAGCUUGUGCUUAGAUUUUCACACUUUCUCAUUCAUCCCGGAGAAAAUCUUUUUUUUUUACUUACAUGCUAGUGUUUCUUCAGGUAAUGAAGCUUUUGUGUGUGUCUACACGAGGAGCAUGAUGUUACAGUCUGACUUAGCAUACAAGAUUAUGGAAUUGCUUUUUUCCCUUCCCAAGUUCAGGAGUUUUUUACAAGAUAUGUGUUGUUUGUAAUGAUGAGUGGUUGGUUGGGAGAACUUAACUUUGUUUGGAUAGGUUUUCUAUAAUCUUUUGUUAUGAUGUUUUUAUUUGUGAUUUAUGAUGAUUAUGAUUAUGAUUCAUACUCCUAAAAGGAUAUCCUCUCUGUUUAAGUGGCCCAAAGACUUGUCUUCUGUAUUAGGAUGAAACCAAAAUUAUCAUUACAUUAUCUCUGUGAGUUGAAUAGAAACUUGUUCCAAUGGAUCCUCAUGUUUUGUAGGCCAUAUACUCUCUUUAUCGACACCUUUUCUCAGAUCGUUAAUUCCAAUCUUUAUUUGAUUUUGAUGAGCUUUCGGAAAGAACAUUCAAUAUAUUAGUUACAUAUAAUAUAUUUUGGUAUUUGGGAUACUUGACCUCUAAUGGUGUGUCCUGUUUUAGUUGGAGCCAUAUACAAAAACCUUACCUAAUUCUAGAGAACAUCUCUAUCCCAAGUAUAAGGAAUUCUGUAGUUUAUGUUUUGCAUAUUUUUUGUUUUGUUGAUUUUCCACUUCCUUUGUUGUAAUUUCUAAAUAGAAAAAAGUAAAAAUAAGAAACGUAAACACUAUUAUAAGACUAAAACUAAAAUUCGUCUCCUAUAUGGGUAUCCCUCAGUGAAUCUGCAACUGGUGCAAGAACUUGGCAUAAGGGGAGCCUAAUUGAGCAGAAGAGAUUGCAAUUGGUUGUGUUGUUGUACUUUCAUAUGGUGAUCUCUACUCUACUAUUAAUUCUUCAUGUUUCCUUGAAUAUAUUAUGGUCUUGUUUUCUCGGUUUCUUCGUGAGUUUACGCGUCACAUGGAAUAUGUAUUAUGAAAACUUAUUAGAUAUUUAUGGAGGACAUUUUGCUUGAUGUUUCAUAGAAGAGAAACUAUGAAACUAUAAAUCAUCUAUCCCAUACAUGGGUAUCCCUCACAAAAUCUCUACUAAGGUCUUGUUUUCUAAUUUCUUUUCGAGUUCCUUGUAGACGUCAUAUAGAAUAUUUACUGUGAAAACUGAUUAGAAUAUUGUAUUUUGUACAUUUGAUGAUUCAGGGAGAGAGUAAUGAGGUAAGGCUGUUUUUUUGUAUUUGCAGAAGGAAUACAGGUAUUAGGAGAGCUUCAGCAUUUAUGCUUAUUUAGUACAUCUGAACUCUUUUUCGUUGCUAAAUUGAGACGUCUGCUUUUCUCAAGUGUAGACAUCAAGUACUUCACACAAUCACCUCUCUUUAAUCUUCUUUAAGGAUCCAUAAGAAUUUUAACAUAACUAUUUGAUGAUUGAGACUCAUCCACUCCGUUUUGCAGUUAGUUUAAGAGGUCUUGAUUAUUAGAGUCUCUCCGAUUGACGGAAUCAAAUUUCUUCCAUGAGUCUUAUACAAUGGACAUGAACAGAGAACAACUCCAGGAUAGAUAAAUCAAAAUUCUUUAUUAAGUCUUUAUCUUUUAGUAUAUGUCACAGCAAAUAUAUCUAUAUAUGUAUCAUUUGGUGUUCAGUAAUGCACGCAUUUGGUUUGCAGUUUGAAUUUGGAGAUAUUGGAGAUGAGGGCCUCUGCGGUGUGAACUAAUUAACAAGGCAUCAUGUUUGGCUGACUGAAUAUUAUGCUGCUAUCCUUAAUUUGGUGAUCUAAACAUAAGUUUGAACAUAUUUCUGCAUCAUUCCUUCUAAUUCUUCUAUUAUGCAAGUUUGUGCUUAAAUUUUCAUACUCUCUCAUUCAUCCUGGGGUUAAUCUUUUUUUUUUCUUUCAAGAUGAUGUUGAUUUUUGUAUUUCUUCACGUAAUGCAGCUUUUGUACGUGUCUAUACACGAGGAACUUGAGUUAUAGUCUGACUUAGCAUACAAGACUAUGGAAUUACUUUUUUUCUUUUCCCAAGUUGAGGAUUUUAUUACAAGAUAAGUGUUUGUUAUGUUGAUUGGUUGGUUGGGGAGAAAUUAACUUUUGUGGGAGAUGUUUUCUAUGUUGUUCUGUUAUGAUGUAUUUAUUUGUGAUUAAUGAUGGUUACAUUGCAGUGGCCCAAAGACUCUUCUGUCUUAGGAUGAAACCAUAAUUAUCAUUACAUGAUCUCUCGAGUUGGAUGGAAAUUUGUUCUAAUGAAUCCUCAUCUUUUGUUGGCAAUGUUUAUACUUUGUUGCUACACCCUAUUUUGGUCAUCUCUACUAAUACUAUUCACAUUACAAUCUUAAUUUGACUUUGAUACACAACAUCUCCUUUUGUCAAAUCCUUAGUCUUUUGUGUCUGGACUCUAGAUGUUUACAAAUGUGGCAGGGGUAGGUUCACAUUAUAGCUGCAGGCAGAGAGGUCCUCUAAUGGUGUGUCUUGUUUUAGAUGGAGGCAUACAAGAAACCAUACCAUAUUCUAGAAUACAAUUCUAUCUCGAGGAUAAGGAAUUCUGCAGUAUUUUUGCACCUUUUUGUUUUGUUGGUUUGCCACUUUUUUUGUUAUAAUUUCUUUUUUUCUUAUUCAUUUUUAUUCUUGUCAUAUCUGAUAUAAAAGGCUAAAACUGAACUUUUCUUCCAUAUGGGUGUCCCUCACAGAAUCUGCAAUUGGUGUAAGAACUUGGCAUAAGUGGAGCCUAAUUAAGCACAAGAGGUUGCAAUUGGUUGUUGUUGUUGUACUUUCAUUUAGUGAUCUCUACCAUGACUAUUAAUUUUUCAUGUUUCUUUGUAUGUAUUAAGGUCUUUUUUUUCGCUAUCGUCGUUGUAGAUGAUUGUCGCGGACAUUCUACUGGAUGUUUCAUGGGAGAUAAGCUAUGAAACUAAUAAUAAUCUCUCCCAUAUGGGUAUCCCUCAAAGAGUCUAUAAUUGGAGCAAGAACAUGACUUAAAGGGGGGCCUAGUUGAGCUGCGAUUGGUUAUGUCGUUGUUAUUGUACUUUCAUAUGGUGAUCUCUACUAUGACUAUCGAUUCUUCAUGUUUACUUGUAUAUUAUAUAAGAUCUUGUUCAUCUAUUUCUUGGUGGUUUCUGUUAGGCGUCACAUGGAAAUGUGUACUGGGAACUGCUUAGAUUGAUGUCUUCGGACAUUUAAUGCUUGAUUCAUUGGAGAAAGGGCUAUGAUUUCGUGGAAUUUGAACCUUUGCCAAGAAAUAAACAGGGUCAUUUUUUUUUGUUAAAUAUACACGUUGAUUUGGAACUUAGGAACAAUUCCUAUGGCAAGUGUUUAAUUGAAGAACACGAGUCAAACAAUCUCUUUCUUGUCUAAGAUGUGUCUGUUUUGCUAUAUUCUUCUUUUUCUGUUGUGUUUUUUUAUUUAUUUUUUAUUUAUGAUUAUGAUACUCCUCCUAAGAAGUUAUCCUCUUCGUUACAGUUGGCCGGCCAAAGGACUCCUUUAUAUUUAGAGGAGGCCGGAAUUGUGUCAUUUCAUAUGAGUACAUGUCAUUGCAAAUUGGAUGGGAAAUUUGUUCCAAUGAAUCAUUAUCUUUUUGUAGGUCGUGGUGCAUUCUCCCUACUGUUGCUCUGCAUUAAUUUUGUCAUAUCUACGAAGACUCUUUACAUUUCAGUCCUUGUUUGAUUUGAUAACUUAGCCUCUACUUUUGUCAGAUUCUUUGAGUUUUCAUCUGUGGAUGUUACAGCGGCGAUAGCCUAGAAAUGUAGGUUAGCUUUGGAACCCGUGGUAGGCAUAUAACACAUAAUAUCUGCAAAUGGUUACUGUUGUAUUUCAUAAUAAUGCAAAUGGCUACUGUUCUAUUUUCUCAGCAUAAUGAGCAUGAUUUUCUGUAGAUGGAGGAAUUUGGAAUAGCUUGGUGAAAUCACUUUAUUCCUGCGACCUGUCAUUUGGUUUGGAGAAUUACACAUGUAGCUUCAUGUAAGAAACGGACGACCUUCUCUUGAGCUAAUCGUUGUGAACUGCCUUUGUUAACUAAUGUUAUUAGCAUAUUAUAUGGUCUGUGGAAGCUUUGGGGUUUAUGUCUAUUCAAGAUGACAGAUUUUGGAUAGCUUGUUGUGAGAUGAUUUCAUCAGGAGCUAUUACUCUAUGUGAUUUUUGUAAGAAUCUCCUCUGCUAAAUUGAGCAUGUUCAGUAAACGGCAUUACCCCUGAUCAUAUAUUAGGCAAGAGCCUUACUUCAUGGUUGGCCUAGUUCUUCAUUUAGUUUCAUGGCUUAUCCUAGAGUGUAAACCGAUUUUAAUUUGGUAUUGUCAUAGAAUGUGAUUCAACAGACAUCUUUAAAAGACAUCUUCAAAGCGGCGUUAAAUUAUCUCAUUUCUAUAUCAUCUCAUUUCAUAUAUUUUUAUGUCUUGGAGUACUAAGUGCUGGUAAAAAAAGGGAGUCGGUUAAGCUGCGUUUUUUUACUAGAUCUCCGUCAUUUAUUAAACUGCUUUUUUUGACUGAGUUCUCAUGUGGUUAUACACACCAUUGUGAUUUACUUUUGAAUUUUUGUAAAGAGAUGGAGCAAGGCCUGGAGUUUUGUGAAGUAUGCGGAAGUUUUAAGAGUUGUUGAAG